UUAAGUUCAGCGGGUAUCCCUACCUGAUCCGAGGUCAACCUAGAAAAAUAAAGGUUUCAAUCGGCAGAGUUCCUCUCCUUUGACAGACGUUCGAAUAAAUUCUACUACGCCUAAAGCCGGAGUGGCCUCGCCGAGGUCUUUAAGGCGCGCCCAACUAAGGACGGCACCCAAUACCAAGCAUAGCUUGAGUGGUGUAAUGA
rnacentral:misc_RNA from 1 species